rnacentral:rRNA from 1 species
UACAGAGGGUGCGAGCGUUAAUCGGAAUUACUGGGCGUAAAGCGUGCGUAGACGGUAGCGUAAGUCAGAUGUGAAAGCCCCGGGCUCAACCUGGGAAUUGCAUUUGAGACUGCUCUGCUCGGGUGCGGAAGAGGGAAGCGGAAUUUCCGGUGUAGCGGUGAAAUGCGUAGAUAUCGGAAGGAACACCAGUGGCGAAAGCGGCUUCCUGGUCCGACACCGACGUUCAGGCACGAAAGCGUGGGGAG